rnacentral:rRNA from 1 species
CCUACGGGAGGCAGCAGUGGGGAAUAUUGGGCAAUGGGGGAAACCCUGACCCAGCAACGCCGCGUGAAGGAAGAAGGCUUUCGGGUUGUAAACUUCUUUUACCAGGGACGAAGGACGUGACGGUACCUGGAGAAAAAGCAACGGCUAACUACGUGCCAGCAGCCACGGUAAUACGUAGGUUGCAAGCGUUGUCCGGAUUUACUGGGUGUAAAGGGCGUGUAGGCGGGAGUGCAAGUCAGAUGUGAAAACUAUGGGCUCAACCCAUAGCCUGCAUUUGAAACUGUACUUCUUGAGUGAUGGAGAGGCAGGCGGAAUUCCCUGUGUAGCGGUGAAAUGCGUAGAUAUAGGGAGGAACACCAGUGGCUAAGGCGGCCUGCUGGACAUUAACUGACGCUGAGGCGCGAAAGCGUGGGGAGCAAACAGGAUUAGAUACCCUGGUAGUC